rnacentral:rRNA from 1 species
UGAACGCUGGCGGCGUGCUUAACACAUGCAAGUCGAACGAAGCACUUAAGAUUGAUUCUUCGGAUGACGUCUUUUGUGACUUAGUGGCGGACGGGUGAGUAACGCGUGGGUAACCUGCCUCACACAGGGGGAUAACAGUUAGAAAUGACUGCUAAUACCGCAUAACCCGAUAGGAUCGCAUGAUCCAGACGGAAAAGAUUUAUCGGUGUGAGAUGGACCCGCGUCUGAUUAGCUAGUUGGUGAGGUAACGGCCCACCAAGGCGACGAUCAGUAGCCGGCAUGAGAGCGUGAACGGCCACAUUGGGACUGAGACACGGCCCAAACUCCUACGGGAGGCAGCAGUGGGGAAUAUUGCACAAUGGGGGAAACCCUGAUGCAGCGACGCCGCGUGAGUGAAGAAGUAUUUCGGUAUGUAAAGCUCUAUCAGCAGGGAAGAAAAUGACGGUACCUGACUAAGAAGCCCCGGCUAACUACGUG